UGACUAUAAACCCAACCAUAAGUAACAGAAUGUAUGACUGAUUUGGUAAUGUGUUUCAUACAAUUUUUUUAAUACAUCUAAACUAAUACUCCUAUCCAACUCACUCCUUGUGAGUGGUAUUUGGACUACAUCAAUGCAUUCCUUUAGGCAAAUCCUGCUGGACCACGGCCACGUCCACCGGAGCCUGGCGCUUCUCUCUCUCUGCUGGAACUGGGGAUGAGGAAGGUUGACCAUGAAGAUGUGCGGAUGCUGUACAAGCGGUACUUGCGUACAGAAAUUGCUUACUACCAGCUGAAAAUGAGGAAGAUCCACAAGGAGAUUGCAUUGCUUGAUAGGCAGCUGGAUGUUACUGUAACCAUGUAAAGCAAAGCUUUGCCUUAAGUGUUUGUGAGCUUUGGCAUGAAUUGUAACUGAACUGAAAUUAUUUUUCUUGUGCACCUUAAUUUACAGGCUGACCAAUAGAGUACAAAUAAAGGCUUUAUUUUCUACAA